ACGAACCGAAGCACGCUGCAUGGCAAAACACGCUGACGUCGGUGUCACGCGGGAGGCCACGCGGGCAAUCUGCGUGCCUAGCAAUCCGACGGCCCAGGUUCGAUCUCGCGUGCGUGAACGACUCAAAUUUGUUCUCUCCUUAGACGUGAUCAGACAGACAAGAUCAAUCGCGAUGAAUGGCCUAGAUUCGCCCAUACAAUCGACCUAAAUAGGUAACGAUUAGAUGACUCUUCUCGCUCCACGUCAAUGCAGAUGGACGACUCAGAUCGACGAGGGGUGAGUAUAUAAAUAUCUUCUCGCAAGGUAACCCCAACCCUAAUCACCCUACCCUCGUUAGAGAAGAAGGACCAGCUGCUGGAGAAGGAGAUUGACCCCCGACCACCGCUACACCGGAGCUAC
rnacentral:lncRNA from 1 species